AUUAAAGGGGGAGCUAGCAGGCGACUGGAAGCGGAGACUGAGGGGAGACGCAGGAAGCUCCGUUCCCGGUUCGACUUCCCCCUUCCAGCUCUUUCGCACAAGCGCUGCGGGGUUUUGCUCUAAACCCCCACCCCGGCCGCGGCCUAGUUACAGAAGCCCGGGGUAGAAGGGAUGACCGCUCCGCUGCGUCUUGAAAAAUCUCCCCAACUCCUACUGACACCCUACUACAACCCAGGGGCGAACUUUUUGCUCUUAACUCCUCGGAUCCUUCGACCAGUGAAGAUGGGGGCUGGCAUCGAGAACAACCAAAGACUCGCUCUGAAAUCCGGAAGGCCCUCGCCCGGCACCAAACGAGGCGGGGUGCUCCCCCGGUCUUUCCAUAUGUUGCAAACCUAAGAGCCUCUUUAUUUUUUCUUUUUCGUUUUUGUAACAUCCCCCUUCGCCCCCACCCCGCUUUAGCUUCAGGGUUGCAAAAGCAAAGCAAUAAAAAAAAAAACAAAAAAAAACUGCGCACACACUCAGACACACACCAGUGGCGACAGGGGAGAGUUGGAAAAACGCAGGAGGAGGAGGAGGAGGCAGGAGACAGCGGGGAUGAAGCAAUGGGAGCGGGAGCAGGCAGGAUCCCUUACAGAUCCCCCUCCGGCCUCAAGCUGCCUUGCCCGCCCCGGCAGGAGAGCGAGGAGUCGGGCGAGCAGAUGGAGCGGAGCUCGCUCUAGGCAGCUGGCUUGGCCGGAGACUGGAGGAGCCGCCAAGCGACCGGCUGAUUGGAAGAGAAACGCAGAGCGAUGGAGGCGGGGGUAGGAGGACGAUUUCUCUGCGGGGACUGGCGGCGGCGUACACGCCCGGGUCGGGCGCUGCAGAGCUUGGCUAGCUUUCAACCCGCGCUCGGCGGCUCCAGCCCCGCGCACCCCCGCCCCCAGCCCUGCCGGCGGCCCCGCAGGGUGAGGUGGCUUUGACCCCGGGUUGCCCGGCCAGCGCGACCGAGGAGGUGGCUGGACAGCUGGAGAAUGAACGGAGAAGCCGACUGUCCCACAGACCUGGAAAUGGCCGCCCCCAAAGGCCAAGACCGCUGGUCCCAGGAAGAUAUGCUAACUUUGCUGGAAUGCAUGAAGAACAACCUUCCAUCCAAUGACAGCUCCAAGUUCAAGACCACAGAGUCGCAUAUGGACUGGGAAAAAGUCGCAUUUAAGGAUUUUUCAGGAGAUAUGUGCAAGCUCAAAUGGGUGGAGAUUUCUAAUGAGGUAAGGAAGUUCCGUACUUUGACAGAAUUGAUCCUUGAUGCUCAGGAACAUGUUAAAAACCCUUACAAAGGCAAAAAACUCAAGAAACACCCGGAUUUUCCAAAGAAACCUCUCACCCCCUACUUCCGCUUCUUCAUGGAGAAGCGGGCCAAGUACGCGAAACUCCACCCUGAGAUGAGCAACCUGGACCUGACUAAGAUCCUGUCUAAGAAAUACAAGGAGCUUCCAGAGAAGAAGAAGAUGAAAUAUAUUCAGGACUUCCAGAGGGAGAAACAGGAGUUCGAGCGAAACCUGGCCCGAUUCAGGGAGGAUCACCCUGACCUUAUCCAGAAUGCCAAGAAGUCGGACAUCCCCGAGAAGCCCAAAACUCCCCAGCAACUGUGGUACACCCAUGAGAAGAAGGUGUAUCUCAAAGUGCGGCCGGAUGCCACUACGAAGGAGGUGAAGGACUCCCUGGGGAAGCAGUGGUCUCAGCUCUCGGACAAAAAGAGGCUGAAAUGGAUUCAUAAGGCCCUGGAGCAGCGGAAGGAGUACGAGGAGAUUAUGCGUGAUUAUAUCCAGAAGCACCCUGAGCUAAACAUCAGCGAGGAAGGUAUCACCAAGUCUACCCUCACUAAGGCCGAACGCCAGCUCAAGGACAAAUUUGAUGGACGACCCACCAAGCCACCUCCGAACAGCUACUCCCUGUACUGUGCAGAGCUCAUGGCCAACAUGAAGGAUGUGCCCAGCACAGAGCGCAUGGUGCUAUGCAGCCAGCAGUGGAAGCUGCUCUCCCAGAAGGAAAAGGAUGCUUAUCACAAGAAGUGUGACCAGAAAAAGAAAGAUUAUGAAGUGGAGCUGCUGCGGUUCCUCGAGGUGAGUAGCACCUCCUUGAGGUGGACGGAGGGUGCAUUUGGAGGCAUUUGGAGCCUGCCUGCUGCAGCCCCGUGCCCUUAUUCCUACCCAGAGCUUGCCGGAGGAAGAGCAGCAGCGGGUCCUGGGGGAGGAGAAGAUGUUGAACAUCAAUAAGAAGCAGACCACCAGUCCAGCCUCCAAGAAGCCUUCACAGGAAGGUGGCAAGGGUGGCUCGGAGAAGCCCAAGCGGCCUGUGUCUGCCAUGUUCAUCUUCUCAGAGGAGAAGAGAAGGCAGCUUCAGGAGGAACGACCUGAGCUCUCAGAAAGCGAGCUGACCCGCCUGCUGGCCCGCAUGUGGAACGACUUGUCCGAGAAGAAGAAGGCUAAAUAUAAGGCACGGGAGGCCGCGCUGAAGGCACAGUCCGAGAGGAAGCCUGGCGGGGAGCGUGAAGAUAGGGGCAAGUUGCCAGAGUCGCCCAAGAGAGCUGAGGAGAUCUGGCAGCAGAGUGUCAUCGGAGACUAUCUGGCCCGCUUUAAG